GGGCCCAUAGUUUCAAUGGCUAAAAUGCUGGUCUCCAAAACCAGAGUUCUCCGUUCGAGUCGGAGUGGGCCUG
rnacentral:tRNA from 1 species